rfam:Hordeum vulgare subsp. vulgare, WGS project CAJW01000000 data, contig: morex_contig_1214290
GGGGCAGAGGGAAUUUCCGGUGGAGCGGUGAAAUGCAUUGAGAUCGGAAAGAACACCAACGGCGAAAGCACUCUGCUGGGCCGACACUGACACUGAGAGACGAAAGCUAGGGGAGCAAAUGGGAUUAGAGCCCCCAGUAGUCCUAGCCGUAAACGAUGGAUACUAGGUGCUGUGCGACUCGACCCGUGCAGUGCUGUAGCUAACGCGUUAAGUAUCCCGCCUGGGGAGUACGUUCGCAAGAAUGAAACUCAAAGGAAUUGACGGGGGCCCGCACAAGCGG